GGCUUAGAGUUUGAUCAUGGCUCAGGAUAAACGCUGGCGGCGCACAUAAGACAUGCAAGUCGAACGGACUUAACUCAUUCUUUUAGAUUGAGAGCGGUUAGUGGCGGACUGGUGAGUAACACGUAAGCAACCUGCCUAUCAGAGGGGAAUAACAGUGAGAAAUCAUUGCUAAUACCGCAUAAGCUAGUAAUACCGCAUGGUAUGGCUAGAAAAGGAGUAAUCCGCUGAUAGAUGGGCUUGCGUCUGAUUAGCUAGUUGGUGGGGCAACGGCCUACCAAGGCGACGAUCAGUAGCCGAACUGAGAGGUUGAACGGCCACAUUGGGACUGAGAUACGGCCCAGACUCCUACGGGAGGCAGCAGUCGGGAAUAUUGCGCAAUGGAGGAAACUCUGACGCAGUGACGCCGCGUAUAGGAAGAAGGUUUUCGGAUUGUAAACUAUUGUCGUUAGGGAAGAUACAAGACAGUGCCUAAGGAGGAAGCUCCGGCUAACUAUGUGCCAGCAGCCGCGGUAAUACAUAGGGAGCAAGCGUUAUCCGGAUUUAUUGGGUGUAAAGGGUGCGUAGACGGGAGAGCAAGUUAGUUGUGAAAUCCCUCGGCUUAACUGAGGAACUGCAACUAAAACUGUUUUUCUUGAGUAUCGGAGAGGAAAGUG
rnacentral:rRNA from 1 species